ACUGGUUGAUCCUGCCAGAUGCAUCUUAUAUCCGAUGGCACUUAGGUAUGUAAGUGUAGGAUAUUUUUAUAUCCUCGCGAAAAGCUCUGUAACACGUCGGGAAGCUGCUCUUAGGUUUGGUAUAACGUCGGAAAACUGACCAUAAUCCCAAAUAGUCAAGGAGUGCUGGAAUGCCCCAUUGAUUAAAGAUAUUCGCCUAAGAAUGCCCCGGCGGCUCAUUAUGCUAGUAGGUGGGGUCACGGCCCACCUAGGCGAUGAUGAGUAUGGGCACUGAAAGGUGUAGCCCAGAGAAGGACACUGAGACAAUGGUCCUGGCCCUACGGGGUCCAGCAAUCAGGAAAAUUCUACAAUACACGCAAGUGUGAUAGAGCCAUUCGGAGUGUCAGGCUAUCGCUUGACUGUCAAUGAAUGUAAACAGUUCAUAAAGGAAGCAGAGGGCAAGGCUGGUGCCAGCCGCCGCGGUAAAACCAGCUCUGCGAUGGGAUGCAAUAUUAUUUGGCCUAAAGUGGGCGUAGCGGGCUUCAUCAGUCCUCCGUUAAAUCUACUCGCUCAACGAGUAACCAGCGGAGGAUACAGAGAAGCUAGAGAUAGGGAGAGGACAAGAGUACGAUAGAGGAAGCGGUGUAAUGCGAUGAUCUUAAUCGGACUGCCUGUGGCGAAGGCGCUUGUCUGGAACUAGUCUGACUGUGAGGCCCGAAAGCCAGGGGAGCGAAACGGAUUAGAUACCCGUGUAGUCCUGGCCGUAAACGAUGCGCUCUAGGUGUCGCAAAAGUCAAGAGCUUUUGCAGUGCCUUAGCGAAGGCAUUAAGAGCGCCGCCUGGGGAGUACGGUCGCAAGGCUGAAACUUAAGGGAAUUGACGGGAGCUCACCACCAGGGGUGGAUGCUGCGGCUUAAUUCGACUUAACGCGAGAAAACUUACGCGGGGCGACUGACCAAUGACUCUCAGGUUGAUGACCUUAGAGGAGGAUCAGAGUGGUAGUGCACGGCCCGCUCCAGUUCGUGUCUUGAGGCGUCCGGUUAAGUCCGGUAACGAGCGAGACCGUCAGUCCUUGUUGCUAACAGUAAGCUUAGGCUUGGCUGAGAACCCGAGGACGACCGCUAUGGUUAACAUAGAGGAAGGUGACGUCAAGGCGAGGUCAGUAUGCUCCUAUAUCCCCGCGGCCGCACGCGGCAUACAUUGGCUGUGACAAUGAGAUGUGACCCCGAAAGGGGGAACCAACCUCCAAACGCAGUCUCAGUUGGGAUCGAGGGCUGUAACCGCCCUCGUGAACGAGGAAUCCCAAGUAAUCGUGUUUCAUUAUGACACGGUGAAUACGUCCCUGAGCUUUGUACACACCGCCCGUCGUUGCACCCGAGUGAGCUCUGCCUGAGGUAGUGUCAAUUUGACAUUCACGAAGGUAGGGUUUGUAAGGAGGCAAAAGUCGUAACAAGGUG
rnacentral:rRNA from 1 species